ACCCCUGAGGUCGUUCCCACGCUUGCAGAGGUCUACGGGCUUGGUGUUGGUUGUCGCUUGUGCUCACCUUGCUGUCACUGGUGUUCUUCCUUUACCCAUCUUAGGGCUCCCCAGUUCUGGUGGGAUCUCGUCCUCUGCUGAUCGCAGAGAAUAUGGGUUUGUUCCCUUAUCUUCAGAUUCAGUAUGUUUUCCUGCUGUUAUGUGAUGUUUGCCUUAGUUUUUUUUAAUUUUUAUUUUAUUUCCAGGCUGCUUAUUGAUCCACCUUGGGUCUGAAUAACCAAAUGAUUCUGUAAGGUUUGACCAAAUGAGAUGGAAAAUGAAGUGGUAGCUCCAAACAGGCUCGCAGUGAGUGUUUCCUAUGACUUGGGGUUUCUAGCUUGACCUCUGUGUUGUUUUUUUUUUUUUUUUUUUUUGUAAGCCAUUUGGUUCAGUACCUAAUAUGAAAGUUUCUUUCCUUCUAGUAUUGGAGACUUAUCCAGCACAUGGUGAUGCCUUUCCUGACCUCCUUGAUUGCAGUGUGGGAUGUGCCCUGGUCCUUGGAAAGGGGUGAGUGAUUCCUGCAUCCUUACUAGAAGGUAAUCUCUACUUACUUUUUCUUGUGUCCAACAGGUGGCACUGGAGAGUUGUGACCCUGCUGAGCAGUUCAAGGACUCUACUGAGGCUCUUGGUGGACUCAGCAGGAACCCACACCCAUAGCCCGUUGUUGCCUCGGUGGAGUUUUAGUGACCCAAAUGCAGACUGCUCUGUGUUGACCAAGUGUGAUGCCAAAAGAAGAGCUAGGCUUGAAAGCAGGCUGCUGGUGAGUGCUGUGCAUGACUUGGGAUUCCUAGAAUGCCCCUUCUUUCUUAGUAACCCGUGUUGUUCAGCACCAAACCUGAAGGUUUCUUCUUUUCUUCCAGGACGGGAGACUCUACCACCAGGAGCCGUUGUCAUUCCUGACCUCCCCGGGUUGCAGCAUUGGACGUGCCCUGAUCCUUGGGAAGAAGUUAGAGAGCUGUAUUUCGUUUUCAGAAGGUGGUCAUUACUUACCUUGUCUUGUGUCCAUCAGGUGGCAGUGGAGAGUUGUGACCCUCCCAAGCGGUGCAAGGGCUCUACUGAGGCUCUUGGUGGAUGCUGCAGGAACCCGCACGCACAGAUGGAUGCCAAGAUCUGCUCCUUGCUCUGUCUGGCAAGCUCUGCUGACCCCUGAGGUUGUUUCCAUACUUGCAGAGGUCCUACGGGCUUGGUGUUGGUUGUCGCUUGUGCUCACCUUGCUGUCACCGAGUGUUCUUCCUUUGUCCAUCAUAGGGGUCCCCCGUUCUGAUGGGAUCUCCAUGCCUUCUGUUGAUCCCAGAGUACUUCAAUUUGUUCUUUGAUUUUCAGGUUCUGUACCAUUUCAUGCUUUUGUGAUCUGUUUUUCUUCCUUUUGUUUUACAGGCUGGAACUGUACACUUGGUUGGAUCUACGAUGACCCAAAUGCAAUCUGGUUAGGUUAGGCCAUGUGUGGUGGGAAAGGAAGAGGUAGGCUCCUAAGCAAAAUUCUGGUGAGGGCUCUGUUUCAUUUGGGGUUUUCUGGGAUGCCCGCUACUCCUCCCUACCCCAUUUUGUUCAUUACUGUGUGUGAAGGAUUCUUUUUUCCUUCUAGGAUUGGGGACACCAGCACCAGAUGCUCUUGCACUUCCUGACCUCCCUGGGUGACAGCGUUGGAAGUGCCUGCACGCUUGGAAAGGGCUAAGUGAUUCCUUCAUCAUUACCAGAAUGUAGUCUGUGUUCAACAGGUGAUGGUGGAGAACAGUGGCCUUCUGCUCAGCGCAAAAAGGCUACUGAGGAUCUAGGUGGAUAGAACAGGAGUGCAGAGCCAUAGGUGGACGCCAAGACGCACUCCUUCCUCUGUCUGGCAAGCUCUGCUGACCCCUGAGGUCGUACCCACGCUUGCAGAGGUCCUAUGGGUUUGGUGUAGGUUGUGCCUUGUGCUCACUUGGCUUUCACCGGGUGCUGUUGCCUUAUAAUAUUUUUCCCAUUCUCUAUUUCCAAACAGGAGGUCCCCUUGGCCUCCGUGUCUUGCUCUGGCCAGGCAGAUGUGGUGUGCCAACGGUACGUGGAGUCCAGACCCUGAGCAAAAGAACAGCUGAGGAGAGAGGCUGCCCUGGGUGAGACAGGAGAAGUGCCCCUUGAAGCGGGGGACGCUCCGCUGGCACUGCCUCUCGCAUCCACCGGCAGCACGUUCCUUCUCUCUCCUUGGUGCCCGGUGCUUUGCCAUCUCCCAGGGCUCGCCAAGUCCAAAUAUUCCCUGAUGGAGUCCAACUCCAGCUUGACCAACACUCACCCGGUCUGUCCCCGCACCAGCUGGCUAAAGGCUCCCCAGCAUUGCUGGCUGUCGGUGCCUUCUGUCGCUCCCAAUCAGCAUGGCUCAGUUCUUUGCCUUUUGGGUUCCAGAGUGUUUGCUACAGGUUAUGGAGUGUUUCUCUUCUCUCUCUUCUUGUCUUCCAUGUAGCCCGUUGUUGCCUCGGUGGAGUUUCAGUGACCCAAAUGCAGACUGCUCUGCGUUGACCAAGCACGAUGCCAAGAGAAGAAGCAGGCACCAGAACAGGCUGCUGGUGAAUGCUGUGCGUGCCUUGGGGUUCUUAGAAUGACUUGCGUUCCUCCCUAACCUGUGUUUUUCAGUACUACUAUUGAGGGUUUUAACUUUGAUUCUAGGAUAGGAGACUCUGCUGUCAGAUGGCGUUGCCUGUUCUUCUCUCCCCAGUUUGCAGAGUUGGAUGUGACCUCAGCAUUGGUUAAGGGGUAAGUGAUUCCUUCACCCUGACCAGAAGGUAAUCUCUACUUGUCUUGUGCUGUGUGGAACAGGUUGCAGUGGAGAAGUGCAGUUGUCUGGGGCGCUGCAAGGACUCUAUUGAGGCAUUUGGUGGACGCAGCAGGAACCCACAGCCAGAGAUGGACGCCAAGAUGCACUCCUUCUUCUGUCUGGCAAGCUCUGCUGACCCCUGAGGUCGUUCCCACGCUUGCAGAUGUCCUACGGGCUUGGUGUUGGUUGUCACUUGUGCUCACCAUGCUGUCACCGGGUGUUCUUCCUUUACCCAUCUUAGGGCUCCCCAGUUCUGGUGGGAUCUCCGUACCCUCUGCUGAUCCCAGAGAACAUGGGUUUGUUCUCUUAUCUUCAGAUUAAGUAUGUUUUCCUGCUGUUAUGCGAUGUCUGUCUUAGUUUUUAUUUUUUUUUCUGGGCUGCCUAUUGGUACAUCCUCAGUCUGCAAUAAACCAAAUGAUUUCUGGUAAGGUUUGACCAAAUGAGAUGGAAAAUGAAGUGGUAAGCUCCAAAACAGGCUCGCAGUGAGUGUUUCCUAUGACUUGGGGUUUCUAGCUUGACCUCUGUGUUGUUGGUUUUUUUUUUUUUUUUUUUUGUAAGCCAUUUGGUUCAGUACCUAAUAUGAAAGUUUCUUUCCUUCUAGUAUUGGAGACUUAUCCAGCACAUGGUGAUGCCUUUCCUGACCUCCUUGAUUGCAGUGUGGGAUGUGCCCUGGUCCUUGGAAAGGGGUGAGUGAUUCCUGCAUCCUUACUAGAAGGUAAUCUCUACUUACUUUUUCUUGUGUCCAACAGGUGGCACUGGAGAGUUGUGACCCUGCUGAGCAGUUCAAGGACUCUACUGAGGCUCUUGGUGGACUCAGCAGGAACCCACACCCAUAGGUGGGAUGCCAAUAUCUAUUCCUUCCUCUGUCUGGCAAGCUCUGGUGUCCCUUGAGGUUGUU
rnacentral:lncRNA from 7 species